rnacentral:lncRNA from 1 species
GUCUGUCCCAGGAAAACAGUGUUGAAGAAAAGACUCCAUGCAAAACCCCUGCCCCCCCUGACCUGCCCCCCCUUUCACAGCCAGCACUGGUGGAUGAUGAACCCCAAGCCAGGUUCAAGGUGCAUUCAAUCAUCGAAAGUGAUCCAGUGACCCCACCCAGUGACUCCAGCAUACCUCCACCCACAAUUCCUUUAGUGACCAUAGCAAAGCUCCCACCUCCUGUCAUCCCUGGGGGAGUCCCACAUCAGAGUCCCCCUCCUAAGGUGACAGAGUGGAUCACAAGACAGGAAGAGCCUCGGGCUCAGUCUGCCCCCUCACCGGCUCUUCCCCCAGACACAAAGGCUUCUGAUGUAGACACCAGCUCCAGUACACUGAGGAAGAUCCUCAUGGACCCCAAAUAUGUGUCUGCCACAGGUGUUACUUCCACAAGUGUCACUGCGGCCAUUGCAGAGCCUGUGAGUGCCCC